GACGAACGCUGGCGGCGUGCUUAACACAUGCAAGUCGAACGGAAAGGCCCUGCUUGCAGGGUACUCGAGUGGCGAACGGGUGAGUAACACGUGGGUGAUCUGCCCUGCACUUCGGGAUAAGCUUGGGAAACUGGGUCUAAUACCUGAUAGGAACCAUCUUUAGUGUGGUGGUUGGAAAGUUUUUUCGGUGUAGGAUGAGCUCGCGGCCUAUCAGCUUGUUGGUGGGGUAAUGGCCUACCAAGGUGGCGACGGGUAGCCGGCCUGAGAGGGUGUACGGCCACAUUGGGACUGAGAGACGGCCCAGACUCCUACGGGAGGCAGCAGUGGGGAAUAUUGCACAAUGGGCGCAAGCCUGAUGCAGCGACGCCGCGUGGGGGAUGAAGGCCUUCGGGUUGUAAACUCCUUUCGCUAGGGAAGAAGCUUUGUUGUGACGGUACCUAGAUAAGAAGCACCGGCUAACUACGUG
rnacentral:rRNA from 1 species